UUUUACAAGAGUGUUUCAUUAAUAACGAUGACCUCUCACAACAAGAUAUUCGCACGCUAUUAUCUUAUUUGGUUAAUAACGAUGGCCUCUGACAACACGCUAUUGGCUUGUUUCGUUAAUAACGAUGGCCUCAAACAAGCUAUUAGUAUUACUAUGACUAACAUCAAAAGAUAUUUUGUAAAUUUUUUUCGAUAUUAAAGAAACUCGUAGAUUUAAGGUGUCGCCGCUAAUUCUUCUGAAAUAGAAUAAAGAAAAGAGCUUCUUCAAAGUUUCCAAUCCUGAAACUAGUGCACAUAAGAUAGUAAGUUUACUCCCCCACCCUCCCUCCGCCUCCCCUUCCCCCUUCCCCUCAAUGGAAUUUGAUUUAUUGGGACAUUUUUCUUUAUUUUUUUUUCUUUUUGGAGAUGAAGUACUAAUAUUGGUCGGGAAAGGCCUCUGUAAGAUUUAGAUCAACAAAACCUAGAUACAGAAAAUUAACUCAAGUAUUCGAUGUAUGAUUCUUGGUCCACUCUUUUCUUGAAUCUAUUUUAAGUACUGCUUUUUGAAGAUGUGGAUUGUCAAGGGAGAGGAAGAGGGACAGUUAAAAAUGAGUGAUGCCUUUGUGUGAUGCAAGUUAAUUUUGUACCAAUCCCCACAAGUUAUACUAAUUACAAAAAUGAAAAUUUACCUAAAAAGGAUUCUCUUGGAGAUUGACUUUUUUUUUUUAAUUCAAAGGCGGCCCAGAAAGCCAUUUAUUAAGGAAAAAAUAUGCACAAUUAGAUAAAAUCCAAUUGCCCCAAGUCCAAUAACAAAUGUCCGACAUGAAUCUACUUAGGAAACUUCCAGUAAACAAAUAAGGAGAGCCAUAGGUCACUCCUUCAACUCUUCAUCUUCUUCGUUGUUACCAUGGCUCGUCGCCGAUUUUCAUCUCCGUCCUCAUCUACUGAAACAUAGCUCAUUGAGCUCCGAUGAAGCUUAUUAAAGUCGUAACCCCAGCAAAGAUCCAACUAGCUAGUUUCAAAGUCAAUCCGUUUGAAGCUCGAGUAGAUAGAUAGCACCAUGGACACUCCAAAAAUUCUCACAAGUGUCAUGUAUCUGACUCAAUGAAGACUCCUUUAGCUUCAAACACCAUCAAUUUUGUAGAUCUGAAACCUCGGCAUGCUCAGCUCAUCAUUUCUCUCUUGUCCGCAUUUUGUUUAACUAAAAUUGAUUAAUCUUGUCGUUUAACAGAAUGAGCACCUCAAGGUGCUCUUGUCGUUUAAAAGUAUCAUUGUUUUUUUCUUUUCUUGCAAGCAUUAAAAAUCAAUACGUUUACUCCAAACUUUAAUACAAUUUUACUUUAUGUACUGUUUUAUUGAUGAUAAUGACAACACUAUCUUUUUGCUGACUUAUUUCUUUCACAAGUGUUUC
rnacentral:lncRNA from 1 species